AUUGAACGCUGGCGGCAUGCUUUACACAUGCCAGUCGAGCGGCAGCGCGGGGGCAACCCUGGCGGCGAGCGGCGAACGGGUGAGUAAUGCGUCGGAACGUAUCCUCGAGUGGGGGAUAACCCAGCGAAAGUUGGGCUAAUACCGCAUGAGCUCUGAGGAGGAAAGCGGGGGACCUGCGAGGGCCUCGCGCUGGAGGAGCGGCCGAUGUCCGAUUAGCUAGUUGGUGGGGUAAAGGCUUACCAAGGCGACGAUCGGUAGCUGGUCUUAGAGGAUGAUCAGCCACACUGGGACUGAGACACGGCCCAGACUCCUACGGGAGGCAGCAGUGGGGAAUUUUGGACAAUGGGGGCAACCCUGAUCCAGCCAUGCCGCGUGAGUGAAGAAGGCCUUCGGGUUGUAAAGCUCUUUCGGACGGAACGAAAUGGGCGGGACUAAUACUCCUGUCUGAUGACGGUACCGUAAGAAGAAGCACCGGCUAACUACGUG
rnacentral:rRNA from 1 species